UACGGGGGGGGCAAGCGUUGCUCGGAAUCACUGGGCGUAAAGGGCGCGUAGGCGGGAUGGCAAGUCGGUCGUGAAAUCCUUCGGCUCAACCGAAGAACGUCGGCCGAUACUGCCGUUCUUGAGGGAUGCAGAGGAGAUUGGAAUUCCCGGUGUAGCGGUGAAAUGUGUAGAGAUCGGGAGGAACACCGGUGGCGAAGGCGGUUCUCUGGGCCUUACCUGACGCUGAGGAGCGAAAGCGUGGGGAGCGAACAGG
rnacentral:rRNA from 1 species